UCGGAUCUCUUGUUCUAAAUGUUGAUAGAUAUUUCCGAUCGUAAAUCUAAAAUGUCAUAAUUGCAAGUAAAAUGAAUGUUUAUUUGAUAUUCGAAAAAUCAUUUAUUUAUGGGAAUAGUAUAUUUUUAUUAAAAUGAAAAGGAAGAAAAAUGCAAAAGAUAUUAGUAAUGGAAAGUCUCCGUUCCACUCUCUCCUCUUUUCCAUCGUCAAUACCUCUCUCCAUUUUCUUCACUGCGUUCAUCCUCCUGCUCCUCUCCUUUGUUGCCGCCGCUUUCCUCCUCUUACCCUGCUGCACGCGUUUCGGGCGGUUGGCUCUACCGAGAAGUCUCGGACUUCACCUCAUUGGCGAGACUCGGAUCUGGUCGGAGCUUACAAUACGGAGGAUCCUGGGCCUUAAAUUGAGGAGAAAAUUUCCCAGAAUCGGUUUUAAUGACGCAUAUAUUGGUGAACUGAUGAUUUGCUUAGCUGACCCGGAGUCGAAUCGGUUUCUUAUUCAGAACAAAGAGAAGCUUUUGGAUUGCUCUCAUAUUGUCUCCCUUCAAACGGUACAGAUUCGAUAUUAUAGAAGGAUGGGUGUAUAUCGUCAAAAAAAGGAGGGAUGCAUUGAAUGUGGCGUAGUGGAAAGAGUGGUUCAAUGAUAUUGAUAAGAACGUUACUUAUGUUGAUUGACUGCAAAAGUAAAUCGUUCAGAAGUAAUAGAUUGAACAAUUAUUUUGAACGUUACUUUUAUUAUAUACUGUGAGUUUCAUACUCUGUGGACAUGUGUCACACUUACAAUAGCCUAUUUUCUGAUGUGGAUUCCUAGGUGGCAUCACCAAGAUUCAAACUCUUCUUUAUAUAUAAAGAUUUUGUGUGUUUUUGUGUUUUAAAACAUCGAAUCUAUCUUUUGGACUUCAUCUCUUCAUGCACCAUGGCAGUAUGCAAAGAUUGGGACGUCAGUCUUCAUCGAGAUCCAGGUCGUCCAACUUAAACACCGAAAUGCGUAUACGUUCAUCGACAAACUCAACCAUACCUCCACAGAGUGGAGUUUUGGGAUCUCGUCGAAGAAGUUAUGAAAGUCAAGUUCAAUUUGAAGAAUCAUCAUCUUUAACUCAACGCAGGAGGAUAACACCGGCAAGUGGAAAUGUUGGUUCACGUACAAUCUAUCCCGGUGAAGAAAGGUCGUUGAUCUAUCUUCAAAGACCUUGAAUAUGCCAAAAGGGUAAUAAUGUAUUGCUAUGGUCCCUCCUUUGUUUUAUGUUGUUGCAGCAGCAAGUGUUUAUGAUGUUUUAAGGGUUGAUGUCAGUUUACAUUGUGAUAUUGUAAACCUUAUCUGGAAAUCGCUUAAACAAGUAUAUUUGUUUUUCUUCU